CCGCCUUGCCCGUCCCGCCCCGCCCCGCCCCUCAGCGUGGCGCGAAGGUGUCUCCUCAGAGGCAGCCGGUCCUCGGAACGGCGGGAGGAAAGAGACUUCUCGAAUUGCCUGGAAUGGCAUUUCCUUCGCUCUCAUCAGCCUCCUACAGCGGCGGGGAAAAGGAUCUACUCGCCCCCUUCCUCCUCGUAUUGCUGGCGGGGUGCAGCCGGCAAGGGGAGCUCUCUCAAGCACGGCAGCGGGCUAAAGGGGGUUAAUACGAGGUGUUCAGCAUGAUGGAGGAGAGAGCGCCCUGCCCAAGCACCGUCCUGUUAAAUAGGCCUGAGAAUAAUUAGUGUUCCUUUAUUGCAGGAAUAAUCUUCUGUCAUAACUUGCUAGUAUGAGAAGGUCAAAGCUGCGUACGUUGUUCACUGUAGCCAGCAGGAUCCCAUGGCUGUGUGAAGAAUAAGUUAAUUAGGAGAGGUUUGUGAGUGAAGGGCUAGGUAUGUUCCUCUACAGCCGGAGAGAAGCCGACGUGCGGCUUGUCUGAACUGGGCCAGCCCAUUUGCCCCCCAGCAAGAGGUCCCAGAUCCUUUCCCAAAUCCCAGCUUCAUUGCUCCUGCUCUUUCUUCUGCACUUCCGACAACGUUUUAUGAGCACUGACUGUUGCCUUGCUUGUUUGUCAGCGUCAGCAGUAAUCUCAAAAUUUCCGAUUUAGUAGGUAACUUCUGUUUGUCAGACAAAACCUUUUAUUUAAAACACAACUCCUUAGGGAGCUGAUCUGUUGAUUGGUUGCUCUUUAUGGCACUUAUCUGUCCUCUACCAUAUGGUACAAAAGAGAAGUCUGUCAUGGAGUUCUUUUGCUUAAAGAAUUUGUGAACUAUUUUGCUUCCCCCACCUACACCUUAGGUGAAAUUUCCAGCCACUUCCCUUCCCCACCCUCAGGGCAGGUGCUCUGGAGAAAUGCGAAUUUCAUUGGAUGUUGUGUAAAACUGCCAGUCUGUAUGAGGCAUUCAAAGCCAUGAAGAACUUCAUUUGUCAUAUGCCAGACUGGACAGGUCAAAUAACAUUCUUAUUUUGAAAAAAUACUGAAUUCAUUUUAAUUUACUAGCUGUUUCAUAUCUCUUCAGGUUAGACAUUCUUUUGGAGUAGCUUAUGUCACAACUGGUAUAUGAGAUGCCUUGGUAGAGGAUGGAGUUUUCUUCAUAGUAACCGGUUUUCAGUCAAUUACUUGCAUGGUAAUAAUCGUCCUUGUAGAGCUGUGUAGAACUAAGGAGACAUGAGGCCUUGAGUUGUACAGUUAAAGAUGUGCAAAUGUUGUUUGUCAGUAUUCUACAGAGAGCUUAGACUGCUGCAGAUGCAACAGGUUGACCUGCCAUGGAAGCAACAUAUCACUGAAACGUAAAAACGCUCAUUUUCUUAUGGGCAACAUGAUCUUUAAUAACUAUUCUGUGAUGAUAAAUGUAGUCCCAUAAGGAAUGAAUAUUUUCCCCCUUUGUUAUACCUUUAACUGGAAGUUGUGUCUUACCUUUAUAGUCACAGAUUGUAUAAACCCCCUGUGAUAAAGCAGGUUUUUUCCAGCUGGAACAGUAAAAUGGUUUGGAACAGAUGUGUUGGACCGCUUUAGUUUGGGGUGCUAUAAGGAAUGUGCCAUGCAGUAUAAAAAUCAUUGAAUAGGAUUUUGGUGAUUGUUGGGUAGUCAGAUGUUAGGAGGACAGAUAACGACUCAUAAUUGGAGGAUUACAAUACAUGAAUUUCUGUAUUAACCCAUGUGGAAAACAUUGGAUCAACAUUUAGCUACGCUGUUCUAGCCAGAAGAUCAAAUUCUGUUGUUCCUGUGCUUCUCUGUCCUUGGCUGCUGACGUAUCUAACUGAGCAAAGAAAAACCCCACAUAGAUUCAGAUUCAAGAAGGCUUUUCUAUAUUUACACGAAAAUUAUAAAGCCUAAUUCUUUUUGAAACUGAAAAUUAGAUUUUGACAUAACUGACUGGACUAUCAGGAGUUUUGGCUGUGGUGUUCUGUUGAUCAAAGAGUUUGAUUCUAAUGAGUAAUUUACAUUUUGUAAAGCUGAUAAUUAAAUUUCUCCCACAUUCUUUAUUACUCUUCUAGAUGAAAAUGUAAAUUAUACCCCAUUUACUUUUAUUACAUAUGAAAAUGGCUGUGCAUUCUUUUUAAUAUCUUACAGAUCUAAAUCGUGCGAGGCAUGAUUCUUAAAAUGAAAGACCUGUUUGUUUAUCUGAAAUGGUUUUCUUCGAUUGCAUUGAUUCUUAAUCUGCCACCAGGGGGCAAUAAUUCCAUUUCCUAAAUCUGAUCUUUCAACAUUAAUACCUACUAGAAGAGAGGUUUCGUUAAAAUUUUUGAGGGACUACAUGUGAAAGCCAAAACAUAAUUUUCUUAGAAAUGCUUCAUUUGCAUGUUUUAAUGCUAAUUACGUUAAUAUUUUAAUAUUUUACUCUGCUCUACUUAGGCACGUAGGUUCUACUUGUAUUUUGAGUGGCUGAAAUUAGACCACUUUGUAAAAGUUUCUACUGGUGAACCUCAUGCAACACUGUAAUGGUGCAAGGUUUGGAUUUAAUGCAAAAUAGGAAUUUUUGUGGGUUUUUUAUAGUGCCAUUGUAAUAUUUUAGAAUUUGUUUUGAAUGCCAUUACUUUCCUAUUCUUCUACUUUUUGUUACACUAAUGUCCUAUUAAUGUUUACUAGCCUAUAUAUGUAGUCCUGAAUUUGGAAAUUAUAUCACCUGACAGGUACCUUUAUAUCCUUA